UUUAAGGGACGUUGUUUUGCGGAACUGGGGAAUCACCCUGCAAUGCAUCCCCAGGCCGGGAGCUGUUUUUCUGGUCCAGUGGACUGCUGGUAGUCGUAUCUGCUGAGAAGAGACAGCGCCGCCUGGAGGAGCUCCGGGGCGGGCGGGCGCCUCGUGAGACCGGAAGGGGGCCACGAGUUGCACAAGAUUGCUGUGCUGCAAUGUGCUAUGAUUUACUUUUCUCUAACAAACAAGAGAAGAAUUACAGGACUUUGAGAGCUGAGAUGGAGGAAGAAACCAGGAAAAAAUGGAAAUGCUUAUACUUCUUCAUUUUGACAUGGUUCCUUCAGAAAUCUGAUACUAAGUAUCUUUCUGCAUCUGGAGGAGGGAAGAAAGAGACCAUCCAGGCAUUCUGUACAUAAUGUUGAAAUAAAACCCUCUAUUGUCCACCAAGACAAUAGGGCUAGUCUAUAAUAAUGUAGUACAAGUAGGGCAUAAAUGACAUAAGCCAGCAAUGCAAUCUUUGUUCUGGUGUAAUCUUCCAUAUCAACCAUCUACACUCCCAGAGCUAGGAGAAUGGCCUUUCUCCCAUUUCCCAUAACUCGCUACCACUUCCCUCCCCUUGCUCUAUAGAAAGUAGUGUAACAGGGCUCCCCUUUGGGAUGACUAACCAUGUUUGACAACAUAGGAGCUAACCUAAAUCUUGGUCAAAAUCUCACACCAAGCCAAAACUGCGCACAUAAACAAAAUUAGUCAGCUUUGUUUGUUUAAAGUUUGCAGAAAGUGUUCACUUUGGUGGGAAGAGAUGUGGGAAUAUUAAAAGCUAUAGGAUCUUCACUGCAAAAGCACCACUUAGAAAGAGCAUUUCAGCUUCUGUGGAGAAAGAGAACAUGUUUAUAUGGGAACAAAGAUAAGGAAAUAAUGCAUUAUGAAAACAAAGGAAAACAUAGAAGUACUGGGAGAAAGCCAGAAGCCCUGGUGAAGUUACUGCAGCAGCAGGAGCUUCACCACUGCCUGGUACCUGAGUGAGGCCAGGGAAGUCAUUGACCUUGUGGGAAG
rnacentral:lncRNA from 1 species